GCAUCCUUAGCUCAGGGGUAGAGCGUCUCCUUUACACGGAGAGGGUCCGCGGUUCGAAACCGUGAGGAUGUACCA
rnacentral:tRNA from 1 species